rnacentral:rRNA from 1 species
GAUGAACGCUGGCGGCGUGCCUAAUACAUGCGAGUCGAGCGAACGGACGAGAAGCUUGCUUCUCUGAUGUUAGCGGCGGACGGGUGAGUAACACGUGGAUAACCUACCUAUAAGACUGGGAUAACUUCGGGAAACCGUAGCUAAUACCGGAUAAUAUUUUGAACCGCAUGGUUCAAAAGUGAAAGACGGUCUUGCUGUCACUUAUAGAUGGAUCCGCGCUGCAUUAGCUAGUUGGUAAGGUAACGGCUUACCAAGGCAACGAUGCAUAGCCGACCUGAGAGGGUGAUCGGCCACACUGGAACUGAGACACGGUCCAGACUCCUACGGGAGGCAGCAGUAGGUAAUCUUCCGCAAUGGGCGAAAGCCUGACGGAGCAACGCCGCGUGAGUGAUGAAGGUCUUCGGAUCGUAAAACUCUGUUAUUAGGGAAGAACAUAUGUGUAAGUAACUGUGCACAUCUUGACGGUACCUAAUCAGAAAGCCACGGCUAACUACGUG